rnacentral:sRNA from 1 species
UAACCACACACCAAUCCUGUCUGAUUAGGACACAGACCUCAUGAUCUCAUCUAAUCUGUGCAGGAGAAGAGAAUUGGGUGGACAGCAGGACCAUCUACGUGGGACACAGGGAGCCACCUCCGGGCGCAGAGGCCUACAUCCCACAGAGAUACCCAGACAACAGGAUCGUCUCGUCCAAGUACACAUUUUGGAACUUUAUACCCAAGAAUUUAUUUGAACAAUUCAGAAGAGUAGCCAACUUUUAUUUCCUUAUCAUAUUUCUGGUGCAGUUGAUUAUUGAUACACCCACAAGCCCAGUGACAAGCGGACUUCCACUCUUCUUUGUCAUUACUGUGACGGCUAUCAAACAGGGUUAUGAAGACUGGCUUCGACAUAAAGCGGACAAUGCCAUGAACCAGUGUCCUGUUCAUUUCAUUCAGCACGGCAAGCUC